ACAGUGUCGCAAUAGUAAUUCAACCUAGUACGAGAGGAACCGUUGAUUCACAUAAUUAGUCAUCGCGCUUGGUUGAAAAGCCAGUGGCGUGAAGCUACCGUGUACUGGAUUAUGACUGAAUGCCUCUAAGACAGAAUCCAGGCUAGAAGCAAUGCAUGCGCCCACCGUCCGCUUGCCGACCCGCAGUAGGGGCCUCGGCCUCCAAGGGCACGUGUCGUUACCUAAGCUGCCGCGGUGGAAGGGUUGCGGUGGCCGCCUUGAAGUACAAUUUCCAUCGAGCGGCGGGUAGAAUCCUUUGCAGAUGACUUAAAUACGCGACGGGGUAUUGUAAGUGGUAGAGUGGCCUUGCAGCCACGAUCCACUAAGAUUCAGCCUUUUGUUGCUCCGGUUC
rnacentral:ncRNA from 1 species